rnacentral:rRNA from 1 species
UACGGAGGUCUCAAGCGUUGUUCGGAAUUACUGGGCGUAAAGGGUUCGUAGGUGGCUUGCUAAGUCAGACGUGAAAUCCCUCAGCUCAACUGGGGAACUGCGUCUGAGACUGGCGAGCUUGAGUGCAGGAGAGGAAUGCGGAAUUCCAGGUGUAGCGGUGAAAUGCGUAGAUAUCUGGAGGAACACCGGUGGCGAAGGCGGCGUUCUGGACUGCAACUGACACUGAGGAACGAAAGCCAGGGGAGCAAACAGG